AGUUAUAUCUUUUUUUUUUUCUAUUUAUUGAAUUUUAUUUAUUUGGAGGAAAAGGGUGCAGCUUGAAUGCCGUUUAUAGUUAACCGUCCCUCUGUAUUUAGUGUCUAACUCUCACUGAAUUAAUAUUUAUUUAUAUAAUAAUAAGUGUGGAUGAACGGUGAUAAAUUUAUUAAUUGAUUGAUUAAUUGGGCGCGUGACAAACGCUCGUGAAACAGCUGACUCACGGUGACGUCACCUCAGGGCGGCAAGUACCUCAGGCGUCGUCGGUGAGAGCAGGGGCCGAGGAUCCAUUCAGCAUCAAAGACAAAAGGGCAAAGAAUAAAGCUACAAGCACACCCAGCAGGAACGCCUUCAGUCUUCUCGGAGGGAGAAAAAAAAAAAGAAAAGAAAAAAAACCUUUCAGUAAGACAGCAAGGUUCGAGCACAGGGCCAAAGCUUCACCACAACGGCUUGAAUAUUAAAAAGGCGACGUCCGUGAGAGGAUCUGUCAUCUCGUCAACCUCCGCUCUUUUCUGAAUCCCUAAGCAAGAGGCAGGAAAUAAAUCGUGCAAACACGACCAAGAUCAGGUACAAGAUCUCCUUUCAGAGUUUCGGAGCAAUCUUACGAACCCCAAUCAGAUUUUCAGUAGCUGCGCUGCUGCACCCCGUUGAGGCUCUUAACCCUCGCCUGAUCGGUUACAGUUUUGGAUUGCGUCCUGUUCGAGACGCUUUGUCUGCCAAAUGAAUAAAUGGGAACGCAAGCCAAGAGCGUAAGACAUCAUCUCAGAGGGAAGAAGCUGAAGCAAUAAUGACCCUGCGGUAAAGCUGUCACGCCCGGCGCGUCAUGAUGGCAUAUGGGGACCGAGAGGCGCGUGGCUGUACUGUGACCUUGGGCACAUUUUCCCCCUGCUUUGUUUCCUUGACGACACGUCCAAACAAGGAGCCGUUUCCCGGACAACAGGCCUGAAAAACAAGGCUUAUGACUAUCAGCUAGAUGGGUUUGUGUGUGUGUGUGUGUGUGUGUGUGUGUGUGUGGAAGAGAACGAGCGCAAAUGGGAGCGACUGGAGUCCCAGAAUUAGAUGAAUUAGCAGAAUAACAGUCCAAUCAGUCAAUUAUGGCAACAAAGGCACAUCAGAUCUGACUUCUUUCAUUUUUUAAAAGCAUGUUCUGCCCUUUCUAACCUCCAGUGACGCACAGUUCAAUCUGCACAUUCAAAACCGUCUUUUCCAUUUUUUAAUGGCUGAUAAAAAAGGAUUUACAGGUCUUAGUCACUCAGCAGGGUUUAAAAAAUCAGUGUUAUAAACCGGCCAGACCUUCUGUUCCGAAUGUCACUCAUAUCGGUGCAUUAAUGGUCUUCAUUUCAUUUAUUUCUAUCUGUCGGUUUCUUUGUCUUUGUCCUUUUGUGUUUCACUACAAACAAAAAGGAAUCAGUGAAUAAAAGAAAGCACAGAAUGAAUCACUA